rnacentral:rRNA from 1 species
CAGUAGCCGCGGUAAAACAGAGGGUGCGAGCGUUAAUCGGAUUUACUGGGCGUAAAGCGUGCGUAGGCGGCUUUUUAAGUCGGAUGUGAAAUCCCUGAGCUUAACUUAGGAAUUGCAUUCGAUACUGGGAAGCUAGAGUAUGGGAGAGGAUGGUAGAAUUCCAGGUGUAGCGGUGAAAUGCGUAGAGAUCUGGAGGAAUACCGAUGGCGAAGGCAGCCAUCUGGCCUAAUACUGACGCUGAGGUACGAAAGCAUGGGGAGCAAACAGGAUUAGAUACCCCGGUAGUCCCUGUCUCUUAUAA